rnacentral:lncRNA from 1 species
GGCGGAUUCCGGCUUCCUCGUGGCUGACUGGAUGCAUCUGCUGGUACUGAUGUACGUGAGUUUCAGCAUUUAGACGUUCCGAGUUUCCACCGAGCCAGAGUUGGGUAGAGAGUUAUUAAGAUGACUAGGAGACUAAUGCGGGGAGAAAUAAUUUAGUAGUUAGACUCAGGCCCUGAAACUACCACUCGUGUUCAGAAAGUCCACGUAAUACCUUAUUGUUUUCACGCGAAGAAACCAGCCCUUCAGGCCGGGCUGAAUGUGGUUUAGGGAUUCUCUGGCUGUCAUUGGGUGAAAAAGCGAUCAGUUUGAAGGUAGCUCCGCCUGGGCUCUAGGGAACUCUGGGAUUUGUAGUCCGGAACUUUCGAGUCCUGUAGCUUUAAAUGUGGUUGUUGCUAUUGAGUUUUUUCAUAUUGUUAAUAACACCCGUUGACAUUUAUUGUGGUUUGUUGGACUUUUUUAUCCUUUCGUUUAUCAGCAGCAUUAAAGACAACAUUUAAGAAAUGUGUAAACACUGCAUGUAUGUUCGUAAACAAUAAAUGUUAGUGUUUCCAACAA